rnacentral:rRNA from 1 species
GUGGGGAAUAUUGGGCAAUGGGCGCAAGCCUGAUCUAGCCAUGCCGCGUGAGCGAUGAAGGCCUUAGGGUUGUAAAGCUCUUUCGUGGGGGAAGAUAAUGACUGUACCCCAAGAAGAAGCCCCGGCUAACUCCGUGCCAGCAGCCGCGGUAAUACGGAGGGGGCUAGCGUUGUUCGGAAUUACUGGGCGUAAAGCGCACGUAGGCGGACUGGAAAGUCAGGGGUGAAAUCCCGGGGCUCAACCCCGGAACUGCCUUUGAAACUCCCAGUCUUGAGUUCGAGAGAGGUGAGUGGAAUUCCGAGUGUAGAGGUGAAAUUCGUAGAUAUUCGGAGGAACACCAGUGGCGAAGGCGGCUCACUGGCUCGAUACUGACGCUGAGGUGCGAAAGCGUGGGGAGCAAACAGGAUUAGAUACCCGAGUAGUCC